rnacentral:rRNA from 1 species
GGUGAACGCUGGCGGCGUGCCUAACACAUGCAAGUCGAUCGGAGCAGCAAUGCUUAGAGGCGAACGGGUGAGGAAAACGUAGUAACCAACCCUUUAGACUGGGAUAGCCACUGGAAACGGUGGGUAAUACCGGAUAAGCUCGAGAGAGGAAAGGCAGAGAAGCGCUAAAGGACGGAACUGCGCCCCAUCAGAUAGUUGGUGAGGUAAAGGCUUACCAAGUCAAAGACGGGAAACCGACGUGAGAGCGUGUACGGUCACAAGGGCACUGAGAGACGGGCCCUACUCCUACGGGAGGCAGCAGUAGGGAAUCUUCGGCAAUGGGGGCAACCCUGACCGAGCAACGCCGCGUGAGUGAAGAAGGUUUUCGGAUCGUAAAGCUCUGUUGUAAGAGAAGAACGUGUGUGAGAGUGGA